rnacentral:rRNA from 1 species
AGCAGCCGCGGUAAUUCCAGCUCCAAUAGCGUAUAUUAAAGUUGUUGCAGUUAAAAAGCUCGUAGUUGAAUUUCGGGGUUCAUACGUUGGUCGGGCUAUUUGGUCUGUACUUAUGUAAUGGAUUCCUACCUUCUGAAUAACCGGCAUGCCAUUAAUUUGGUGCGCCGGGGAAGCAGGACUGUUACCUUGAAAAAAUUAGAGUGCUUAAAGCAGGCUAUCGCCUGAAUACAUUAGCAUGGAAUGAUGAAAUAGGACGGCAUGGUUCUAUUUUGUUGGUUCCUAGGAUCACCGUAAUGAUUAAUAGGGAUAGUUGGGGGCAUUAGUAUUCAAUUGUCAGAGGUGAAAUUCUUGGUAUUUAUUGAAGACUAACUUCUGCGAAAGCAUUUGCCAAGGAUGUUUCAUUAAUCAAGAACGAAAGUUAGGGAUCGAAGACGAUCAGAUACCGUCGUAGUCUUAACCAUAAACUAUGCCGACGUAGGGAUCGGACGAUUAGUUAAUUUUUAAUGUACUUCGGUUCGGC